AGUGGAUGGGGAGCAACCUAGUUGUGAGUGCGGAAAGGUAGUGCCAAGAAAAGCUGUCAGAAUGAUGAGAAUUGAGUCCCGGUACCCGAAACCGACACAGGUAGGCAAGUAGAGAAUACUAAGGGGCGCGAGGUAACUCUCUCCAAGGAACUCGGCAAAAUGACCCCGUAACUUAGGGAGAAGGGGUGCCACCGAGAGGUGGUCGCAGUGAAGAGGCCCAGGCGACUGUUUAGCAAAAACAUAGGUCUCUGCAAACUCGAAAGAGGAAGUAUAGGGGCUGACGCCUGCCCAGUGCCGGAAGGUUAAAGAAGUUGGUCAGGAGAAAUCUGAAGCUGGCGACUGAAGCCCCGGUGAACGGCGGCCGUAACUAUAACGGUCCUAAGGUAGCGAAAUUCCUUGUCGGGUAAGUUCCGACCCGCACGAAAGGCGUAACGAUCUGGGCGCUGUCUCGGAGAGAGGCUCGGCGAAAUAGGAUUGUCUGUGAAGAUACGGACUACCUGCAUUUGGACAGAAAGACCCUAUGAAGCUUUACUGUAGCUUGAAAUUGUGUUCGGGCUUCCUGUGCGCAGGAUAGGUGGGAGGCUAGGAAGGUCUGCUUGUGGGCAGAUUGGAGCCAACCGUGAGAUACCACUCUCAGGAGGCUAGAAUUCUAACUUAAUUAAGGACAGUUUCAGGUGGGCAGUUUGACUGGGGCGGUCGCCUCCAAAAAGGUAACGGAGGCGUACAAAGGUUCCCUCACACUGGUUGGAAAUCAGUGGCAGAGUGCAAAGGCAGAAGGGAGCUUGACUGCGAGACGGACAAGUCGAGCAGGGUGGAAACACGGUCUUAGUGAUCCGACGGUGCUGUGUGGAAGGGCCGUCGCUCAACGGAUAAAAGUUACUCUAGGAUAACAGGCUGAUCUCCCCCAAGAGUUCACAUCGACGGGGAGGCUUGGCACCUCGAUGUCGGCUCAUCGCAACCUGGGGCGGAAGUACGUCCCAAGGGUUGGGCUGUUCGCCCAUUAAAGCGGUACGUGAGCUGGGUUCAGAACGUCGUGAGACAGCUCGGUCCAUAUCCGAUGUAGGCGUGAGAAUAUUGAGAGGAGCCUUCCUUAGUACGAGAGGACCGGGAAGGACGCACCGCUGGUGUACCUGUUAUGAUGCCAAUCGUAAACGCAGGGUAGCCAAGUGCGGAGAGGAUAACCGCUGAAGGCAUCUAAGUGGGAAGCCCACCUCAAGAUGAGUAUUCUGGUGUAAGGUCACGGGGAGACGACCCGUAGAUAGGCACGAGGUGGAAGUGCAGAGAUGUAUGAAGCCGAAGUGUACUAAUAGACCGUCGGCUUGACC
rnacentral:rRNA from 1 species